UUUCCUUGAUUUUCCUGAAGUACACGCUGGAACUCCCACACUGGUCUCUCACGAACUCAAGACGACCUUAGCACGAUUUAGAUAUGACUAAAGCACGACCUGGUUGACUUGUGCUAGAGUUUAUAAGAUAGUGGAGUAGUCGUUAGUUAGUAUUGUAUGUAAGGGAAAUAAACCAAAAGAACUAUACAUAUAUUGAAAAAAGAAAAAAAGAAGGGUUUGCGCCAGCCAGCAGUGAAGAAAUAAGUAAUGAAUGUGGCACAUCAGCUAAACUCAAGAGGAACACGCGUCAAGUCUCCACUGCAUCACUGGCCUCCUCCUGCCGGGUGUUGCGCGGCCCA